CCUACCCAUAGAGACAUUGCAUGUGUUGCUGCUGUGUCAUAUUUGCUUCAAUAGUUGGCAGAGAGGAAAGAGGCUAUACCUAUCCUCAGUGUUCUGACCUGAAGAACAACUGAAUGAUUAGUAGCCUAACACU